GACGUAGGGUGCGAGCGUUGUCCGGAUUUAUUGGGCGUAAAGAGCUCGUAGGUGGUUUGUCGCGUUGUUCGUGAAAACCUGAGGCUUAACCUUGGGCGUGCGGGCGAUACGGGCAGACUGGAGUACUGCAGGGGAGACUGGAAUUCCUGGUGUAGCGGUGGAAUGCGCAGAUAUCAGGAGGAACACCGGUGGCGAAGGCGGGUCUCUGGGCAGUAACUGACGCUGAGGAGCGAAAGCGUGGGGAGCGAACAGG
rnacentral:rRNA from 1 species